GACGUAGGGCGCGAGCGUUGUCCGGAUUUAUUGGGCGUAAAGAGCUCGUAGGCGGCUUGUCGCGUCGUCCGUGAAAACUUGGGGCUCAACCCCAAGCUUGCGGUCGAUACGGGCAGGCUAGAGUUCGGUAGGGGAGUCUGGAAUUCCUGGUGUAGCGGUGAAAUGCGCAGAUAUCAGGAGGAACACCGGUGGCGAAGGCGGGUCUCUGGGCCGUAACUGACGCUGAGGAGCGAAAGCGUGGGGAGCGAACAGG
rnacentral:rRNA from 1 species